UACGUAGGGUGCGAGCGUUAAUCGGAAUUACUGGGCGUAAAGCGUGCGCAGGCGGUUCGUUGUGUCCGAUGUGAAGGCCCCGAGCUUAACUUGGGAAUGGCAUUGGAAACUGGCGGGCUGGAGUGUGGCAGAGGGGGGUGGAAUUCCACGUGUAGCAGUGAAAUGCGUAGAGAUGUGGAGGAACACCGAUGGCGAAGGCAGCCCCCUGGGCCAACACUGACGCUCAGGCACGAAAGCGUGGGGAGCAAACAGG
rnacentral:rRNA from 1 species